rnacentral:rRNA from 1 species
GCCCCUUAUGUCCAGGGCUACACACGUGUUACAAUGGUCGGUACAGAGGGCAGCUACCUGGUGACAGGAUGCUAAUCUCGAAAACCGGCCUCAGUUCGGAUCGAAGUCUGCAACUCGACUUCGUGAAGCUGGAUUCGCUAGUAAUCGCGCAUCAGCCAUGGCGCGGUCGAAUACGUUCCCGGGCCUU